AUUUCCCCAUCUCUGCUGAAAUGACUAAGUUACCCUUUUAAAAAUUGAAAAAGAAAAUUCUAUUCUAAUCAGAUUCAUACGGAAAUAAACGGUCGGCGAUUACGUUGGCAGCAAUUCCGUCUCUCUCAGGCAAUUCGAUCACCGGCGAUAACAUCUUUCUCAGGCGAUUUCCUCUCUCUCAGACGAUUCCGUUCUCGGCGUCGGUGAUUCAGACAGCCGGGACUCAGAAGGACGACGAUUCUUCCUUAGUCACGAUUCCACUGCCAAACCAUUUUUAGAGAGCAGAGCAUGAUAAAGUCAAAGUCCACUCACUUCAUAUGACCAUAUAUUUAGUAAAUAUAUUGUUGUAAAUGUUUUGCUUAAUAAUCUUCAUUUGAUUAGAUCUUUUUUAUAUAUAUUGUGUAAUCGUUCCAAAUCAAUACAGUCGCAUAGAUACAUAACA